GCUAUCUGGGAAAAACAAACAAACUACGGUGUCAUUUAUGGGGAGUAUGGCGUUAACAUGACAUAAGACAAUCAUGGACAGUACCUCCAUCUUUGCGUUGGUCCACCUGGGCACCUCCACCACGGCGUGAAAUAUAUUCUGCCGGAUGAAAGAAUGACAUUUCGAAUCUUGUUUUUGUGACCGCGCAGUCUAGCUGGUCUGCGGGUGGGCGGGCUGCGCCGUUGUGGGAGUGUUUACAGCCGACCUUAAUUGGAAGCGGGUCCUGGCAUUCCCUUUAAUUCUCGACAGGCACAUCAAGAUCAAAUUCAACAAACUUGAAUCGGAUGUGGUCUGAGCGGGUGCAAAUUCCCAUACAGGGAUCAUAUCGAUAUCGCAAGUCAGUAGCGGUGUCGGAUCGAUACUACCAUGAUGAGAUAUUGGUACCGUAGUUUGUUUCCCUCUUACUACAGAUUUUGUCAAUGAAAAUAGAGCCCAUGUGAUAUUUUCUUUGCCAUCAAAUGUCUUCAUGGCGCAAAUUUGACCUGAGCUGGGGUCAAAGGUCAAAGAAAAUAACAAUAAAAAGAGGACACUCACCUGGGCUUCAUCUGCAAAGACGGGGAUGUCGUGGAAGGGAGAUAUGUAUUGGCCCUCUGCGUUUU